rnacentral:rRNA from 1 species
CCCCAGCGCCACAAGUGGUUAUCACGAUUAUUGGGCCUAAAGCGUUCGUAGCCGGUUUGGUGCAUCUCUUGUGAAAUUGUUCGGCUUAACCGGACAGCGUGCAGGAGACACGGCCAAACUCGAGACCGGGAGGGGUUAGAAGUAUUCCAUGGGGACUGGUAAAAUGGGAUAAUCCGAUGGAAGACUACCGGAUGGCGAAGGCAUCUAACCAGAACGGAUCUGACGGUGAGGAACGAAAGCCAGGGGAGCGAACCGG